GAAAAGUUGAUGGAAUCGAAGAGUCUUUGCGAUGAAAGCGAGGAUGGCGAUGAAACGGAGAGAGCUUCAUGCAGUCCACUUCUGCAUCAUUCUUGAAGCUAAACGUGGGUUUGUCUCCCGGUAACUGAGGAAGCGAUGCUUUAUCUGUCGAUCGAUGAGUUUGUCUACUCCUUCAACAGAUCGGAAAGCGUUGCGAUGUAAGCGCCCAUUCCUUUCUUGCCAAAUCCAAUAGAUACAGCUUUGCCAACUUAGUAGUAUUAGUCUACCCCUCCAGGAUCGACUACUGAACGCCUGCAAUUGAGUUGUUACAGCAUCCCAGUUCCGCUGGGGAUCCAAACCACUCCUCCUUGAUUGAGAUAGCCACAAUUCCCAGGCGUAGGUGCACGAAAAGAAUUGAGGUGCCAAAUUACAAAGCAAACAGGUCGGAGGUGUUUGAAGACCCCAUCGUAGAAGCCUGUCUCUUGUUGGGCAGCGGUUGAGAACAAAAAGCCAGCAGAGGAACGAUUGCUUAGGAAUUCCACCUGCUAUCCAUACAAUCUGAUCCCAAGGUUCAAUUGUCUCUCAGACCGAGCAUGAGGCAAGAGCCAGUUCCCAUCCUGUUGAAGAGAGGAGAGCGUAGCAGCCGCUGGAAUCCUAAGAGAAAAGUUUGAAUCCUGGGAAAAAGUAUUGUUCUAGACAGCCAAAGGAUGACCAAUUGUCUGUCCAGAAGCGGCAUGUAAGUCCAUUCCCAACACGCAGUUUGAUCCAAUCGUAAAUUUUACCUCUUAGUUUGAUCAGCUUUUAACUUCUUUUACACUUAUACAUACUUUGAACUUUCCAUGUACUCUAUUCUUUGUAAUUUACAUCAAAACCAUUGUACGUAAACACACCUAAAAUUCAACAUCGGAGAAAAUUACCGCCGCACU